AAACGGGCGCUAAUACCGCAUACGUCCUACGGGAGAAAGCAGGGGACCUUCGGGGCCUUGCGCUAUCAGAUUGAGCCUAGGUCGGAUUAGCUAGUUGGUGAGGUAAUGGCUCACCAAGGCGACGAUCCGUAACUGGUCCUGAGAGGAUGAUCAGUCACACUGGAACUGAGACACGGUCCAGACUCCUACGGGAGGCAGCAUGGGGAAUAUUGGACAAUGGGCGAAAGCCUGAUCCAGCCAUGCCGCGUGUGUGAAGAAGGUCUUCGGAUUGUAAAGCACUUUAAGUUGGGAGGAAGGGCAGUUACCUAAUACGUGAUUGUUUUGACGUUACCGACAGAAUAAGCACCGGCUAACUCUGUG
rnacentral:rRNA from 1 species